AUGCUUGCUUUCGUGGCAUAUAUACUAAAAUUGGAACGAUACAAACAAGUUUCACAUGACCCCUGUACAACAAUGACAUUAAGUUUAUGAAGUAUUCCACAAUUUU
ensembl:snRNA U6 U6 spliceosomal RNA